UGCUUGAUCUCGGUUUUUGACCAGUUUAUUGCGUCGAUCAAUGCAUUGAAAGUGACUACAUCGGGGUUCCGAUUUUUUUUGUUCUUCAUAUGAUGAAGCGGAAACAGUAAUCAACCCUGGUUUAGUCACUUUCACUGCAUUAAUCAAUGCAUUUGUAAAAAGAGGGAAAAGCA